GAUUGCCUUAUUAACGGCGAGUGAAUUGGCAAUAGCCCANCCUUAAAAUUGGAUGGUCUUGCCAUUCAAAUUGUAGUCUGGAGAAAUGUCCUUAGUGGCGGACUAGGCCCAAGUCCCCUGGAAAGGGGCGCCGGANAGGGUGAGAGCCCCGUUGGGCCUGGACCUUGCUGCACCGCAAGGCGUUGUCUUGGAGUCGGGUUGUUUGGGAAUGCAGCCCAAAUUGGUUGGUGAAUUCCGUCCAAGGCUAAAUAUUGGCGAGAGACCGAUAGCGAACAAGUACCGCGAGGGAAAGAUGAAAAGAACUUUGAAAAAAGAGUCAAAGAGUGCUUGAAAUUGUCGAGAGGGAAGCGCAUGGAGACUGACGGUAGGCUUGGGCCGAAUGCGGAACGGCGAUAAGCCGGUCCGUUGAUAUAGGCUCUAGGCUAGGAUCAACGAGAUUUUGGGUGGCGGUUGAAGCAUGGGCAGUUGAUGCGCUCAUGGGAUGCUGUCACUUGGAUUGUGGUAAGCAGGACGCGCAUUUGGUGUGCUUUGGCAUCUGCGUCCUUUGGUUGUUGCCUGGUGGGCUCUCCAUUCGACCCGUCUUGAAACACGGACCAAGGAGUCUUACAUGUGUGCGAGUCGGCGGGUUGAAAAACUCGCAAGGCCCAAAGAAGUUGAUUGGCGGGAUCCCUCUAGGGGGAGCACUGUCGACUGACCUUGAUCUUUUGAAAAGGGUUCGAGUGUGAGCAUACCUGUUGGGACCCGAAAGAUGGUGAACUAUGCCUGAGCGGGGUGAAGCCAGAGGAAACUCUGGUGGAGGCCCGUAGCGAUACUGACGUGCAA
rnacentral:rRNA from 1 species